AUUGAACGCUGGCGGCAGGCUUAACACAUGCAAGUCGAGCGAGCGGCGGACGGGAGUAAUGUCUGGGAAACUGCCUGUUGGAGGGGGGUAACUACUGGAAACGGUAGCUAAUAUCGCACAUCACCUCAUGUGUCCAGAUGGGAUUAGCUAGUAGGUGGGGUAAUGGGUCACCUAGGCGGCGAUUCCUAGCUGGUCUGAGAGGAUGACCAGGCACACUGGAAAUGAGGCACGGUCCAAACUCCUACGGGAGGCAGGAGUGGGGAAUAUUGCACAAUGGGCGCAAGGCUGAUGCAGCCAUGCCGCGUGUGUGAAGAAGGCCUUCGGGUUGUAAAGCACUUUCAGCGAGGAGACGUUACUCGCAGAAGAAGCACCGGCUAACUCAGUGCCAGCCGCCGCGGUAAUUC
rnacentral:rRNA from 1 species